CCAUUUUUUCUCCUUUUCUUCUUCUUCACUUCGUUACAACCAAGAAAUAGAUUUCAUCGUUUUCUCCAUUGCUAAAACAGUUACAGAAAGCAGAGAAAUCAAUCGAAAAAUUCAUUUUUGCCAACUCAAAACCCUAGAUUUUACUUCCAAUUUCAAAUUCUAAAGCUACCCAUAACUCCGGUUCAAUGUAGAAUCAUUUACGUCCCCUGCGAUGAGGUAGAUCGGACGGUAAACAGUCCUUGUAGCAGGUAUGCAGUUAUUUUUUCAGUAAUUUCAAUGAAGGACAGUCUGCAUUGCUUUCUUCAUAUAAAUUUAGCGAGAUUUGAGUGAAAAGUUUUGAUUUUGCGAACAAAAAUGUUGAUUUUAAAAGUACAAAUUCGAGAAGGUGGCUUGUUUCUGAUGGGAUUGUUUAUAUAAACAAAGAGUUUUACUUCUGAGGCUUUAAUUGGAUCAAGGACUGGAUUUACGUCUGACUCAUUAAGGUAUGACAAAAUGGAAGUUUGGGUUAUGUAGUUGGCGGGAUGGAAUAGUAUAAUUACAUUUGAUAUUGUGUUAAAAUGUGUGGGUUUGAGUGACGAAGAUGUGUUUGUUGAUGUUAUACAUGAAGGUCGUAGUGGGUUAUUGGAUUCUACGUUACUUGUUAUGAUAUGGGUAUUUUGAUUUUUGGGUGGCUUUGACAAUUAAGGACAGGAUUCCAGUUGAGCUUAAGUAAGGGCGGAGGGAUUGUUGUCGUGGAAUGCCUUGCUGGGUUUGCGUCUGCGAGGAAACUGAUGUCAUUUGGCUUCGUGAAGUUACUGCGUAGGAGGGACGAAAGGGUGUAGGUGAAAAGUUGUACAAAAAAGGUGGAAGGGGGAAUAAGGUGACAACUGCUGAUUUAGGAGGGAUCUUUAGACAGGUACACUACCAUUUUGGAUUAAAAAAAGUGGAGGUUGUUUAUCUUGGAGAUUUCACGAGAGUAUUUUGUUCUGAAACUAUAAAAAGUUGUUAGUUGGCCCUUAUUGUUAGCUCUAGUCGCAGGAGAAGCUGCCAUACAAGUUUGAGCGAAUGGCCCCUACUGAUGCAGUGAAAAAAGUUUUCCAAGUUUUAGAAGGCAUUAUUAUUAGGUAUAUAUGAACCACAAGGAAUUAACAUCUCCGAGCCCAUCCGUUCAGCUUUGGUUCCUACUCCAAUGUGGGUGCAUCAGGGUAUGACUGACAUUUUAGCAGAAUCUGCCGGAGAAUGAAGACUUCUCUUUGCGCUACCAUACCACCAUUUCUCAUUGGGCUUAGAGAAGCUACAAAGAUGGCUGACGACACUAGUGUUAGAACAUUGCAUUUGAAGGUUGAGAAGAGAAAAACCGAGAUAAGGUGUUAUAAAAUCAAGAGACAUAGCCACUGUCAAGUAAAACAUACUCGGGAUGUCUAAAAACUUUGGCUGAGGCAACGGAACCACUUUAUCUGCUGGGGAUAUUAGAACUAAUGCAGUAGCGAGCUGCUUUAGCUCUACGCCUCUGGCAAGUAAGAAAUUGGCCUUUCUAAAGGGAUCUCACUUCCUCCAGGUUUGAAUAUUCUCGUAAUGACAACAUUGGGUCGUCUAAACCAUUUGGUAGAGGUUAUGGAUACACCCUUCGACCAACACACUUUCGUCCCUCCAAACCAAAUAACAUCAGUUGUCUCAUAGCCACCAACCCAGCAAGACCUUCCCGGACGACAGUCUCUCCGCCCUUUCUUGGCUCAACUGGAAUCUUGUCCUUAAUUGCCAAUGCCACCCCAAAAUCAAUAUAUCCAUAUGAUAACAGGUAGUUGUACGCAGAAUCUAAUAACCCAUUACAGUGUUCAGGUUAUACCAACAAACCUAUCUUCCGUCACCCAAAUCGACACAUUUUCAUGCCAUUUGGUACUAACAUGAUUUCUGAUUAAAAUGUAGUUAUCCUAUUCUAUCCUGCCAACUACAGAAACAACUCUAAUUUCAAUUUCGUCAUUCGCUAAUGACUCAGGCGAAAAUCCAGCCGUUAAUUCAAUUAAAGGCUCUGAAGUUGGCUCUUUGUUUGUAGAAAUUAUCUCAACAGAAACAACUCGCCUUCUUGAAUAUGUACUUUUAACCACCUAAGAGUUGACAUUCGUGUUUGCAAAACUGAAACUUUUCAAUCGGGGUUUGCUAAAUUUAUCUGAAGAAGAUGAAGACAAAAAUGCAGACUGUUCUUCAUUGACAUUACUGGGAAAAUUACUGGAUACUUGGCACAACGACAGUUAGUUUACUGCCUAAUCCACCUUGUCUUCUCUUCAUGCAAAGAGAUAGAAAUGAUUUGGGAUUGAACCUAGAUUAGGGUGAAAUUAUCUUUUUUCACUAGUACUAUGCCAACUUCCGAUUGAGCUGCUAUUUUUGCAAGAAUCGCGGAUGCUGGCUCUCUUAGAGUCAUGAACACUGAUGUCACUGAGAAAAGCAGUACUAGCAGAGUAGUAACGAUGCCCGAUUUAAUCAGAUGUUGAACGUCUUCUUUUGAGACAGACAAGUUAUGCAACGCGUUUAGACACGAUUGCUCAGCUUCUUGGUUCUCCGAGGUGAACAGGUUGACUAGUGGUUCAACGGUUCCAUCUUGUCCCAGGUUUAAACAUUCUGCUCAUCACACUCCAAAACUAGUUGUUGAUCAGGGAGAACUUUCUGCCUUCUUCAUAGCGCGCAACAAUACAAGCAUCCAUUGCAUAACGUCUAUCUUCAGCCAACACCUUUGUGAAUUCACUGUAGGAUUUAUGUUUGGUUGUGUAUACAAAUGAUGAAAGACCAAUAUCUGUUCAUGGGAAUAAAAUACCUUGUUUCAUAUUGGUUGUGUAUACAAAUCAAUUUCUGUUUUAA